AAAUAGUACCUGCUCCAGUGUGCACAUGCGCCCUGUUACACUGACUAUAAAUAAGGAUAUCAGGGGCAGAGAAGUAAACAGUCUAGAAUGCUUCUGUUGGGGGAGCGAGCCCUGUCGGCGGACUGAGGCUGUUGCUCCUGGGGGUGCUUGAUUGAGCUCUAGAAGAAUGUGUCUCUUCUGUUGGGACCCCUUCACAGGACUGUUGGAUUGCCUGGGAUAAAGCCGAGGCUAAUUUGAAACGAGAAAAUUGCUAUAAAAGGUUCGGCACCUGGGCUUUUGGGGAGAAGAGUAAAGAUGGCCUUGAGUGAAACAACUGGUAACAAAAGCUAGUCCAACCUGGGAGAAACCUGGAAAGAGGACGCUGCCCGGGACCCAGGCACAGGAGGUUUUCACGUUUCACCGAAGAAAACCGAUUAACCUCACAGCUUAGCUACUCUGGCAAUGCAGAGGAACUGUACUAACCCUUGGAGCAGAUGCCCAGCUAGAGCCUUGAGGAACUGUUUCGGGAGGGUAGUAACUAAUUUCUUUGGAUUACUCUGGAAUAUUUUGGAAGUGAAUGGAUUUCCUGCGGUUACACAGGAUGAAGCAUGAAGUGAGGGCUUAGAUUUCCCCACAGGCAGUUUUUGCUGUCAUUUCCAGCCAUUUCUGAGAUGGACUUCGAAUCCGUCACUUGGGAGUGAUGGGGGCCCUGCCUAAGGCUGGCGAGAGGCGAGACACAGCACCAGGCACAGCUCCACAGCUGGAUCUGUGACAUACCCAAGGUGCCAGCCCAGCAGAGACCUGCCCAGAGGCUGGGGCAAGAAAAGCAGAAGCCUGUGCACUGUCUCCUAGCAACAGAUGUUUUACCAUCUUAUUGUGGGACUGCUCAUAAGCGAUAAUUGUUCUGCUGCUCACAAUCCCUCCAGUAACAACCAGAAAAGGGUCACAGUCAAAGCAGACAUAACCAUCACCUUCAUUCCGGUGUGUGGAUCAGAAGAGAAGGUGAUCCCAAGACCCAGAGCACUCUGGAGAGAGAAUUCUAGUGUUUCCCUAGAAAGUCACCGCCACCUGCCCUGCCGCCUUCAAAUCCUUGGGGCCAUCUGUGGCUCCCUUUUCUUUCCUCCUCCUCCCUCCUCUCCUCUUCUUUGUUUUGUUUUGUGACCAUGCUGGUUCUGAUUCUGAACUUAGUGUCUUCCUCCUGCCUCUGCCUCCCAAGUGCUGGGGUCAUAGGAUUGUGUCAAUUACACCAGUUCCCCACUCCAUUUCCCUCUCAUUCCUGAUUCUCUCUUUUUUUCUCCCCAGUCUUUUAUUACCUUUCUUUCUUAAUACCUAUAUUAUUAUUAUUAUUAUUUUGGUUUUUCGAGACAGGGUUUCUCUAUAUUGUUUUGGAGGCUGUCCUGGAACUCUCUCUGUAGACCAGGCUAGCCUCGAACUCGCAGAGAUUAAUACCUAUCUCUUAAACAUUACCUUUCCCCUCUUCCUUCCUAUCUAUGGUGGUUCAACUGAGAAGGCCUCACAGGCUCCUAUGUUUGAACACUUGGCCCCAAGUUGGUGGAACUGUUUGGGAAGGGUUAGGAGGUGUGGCCUUGCUGGAGGAGGUGUGCCACACAGGUGUCAGUCUUUGAGGUUUCAAAAGACUAGUGCCAUUCCCAGCACACCCUUUCUCUGUCUCCUGCAUAUGGAUCAAGAUGUGAGCUUGCAAGUUGUUCCUGUCACCAUGUUUUUUUUUCCACCAUCAGGAACUCUAACCCUCUACAAACCCAAUUAAAUUCUUUCUUUCCUAA